UUCCCUUCCCGUGUUAAGGGAACAAAACAGCAUGAGAAGAAGUCCAUGUAUGGAAGCUGACUCAGCCUGGAGUUAAUUGUGGUAGGGAAGAGGUUGGGACUCCCAUCUCCAGACCAGGACAGGCCCUCUACACACUCCCAGCACCUCAUGUAUACAACUUCGGAGGAAAGCUUCCCACCAUUUAGAGUCAUAAACUGAGGAACAGAGAGUGCUGCGCAAACAAUGUGACACAACAAAGAACUCUCAGACUCCUUAUUUGAAGUCAGUCGCAACGGAAUCGACUGGGAAGAGGAGAACAGAAAGAGCAAGGGUCCAGGAUUUUGACUCUCAUGUGCCUUGAGUCCUGGGAUGUCAAGCAAGGUCCACUCUCAUUCUUCAUUGAGGUGAUGGAGCUGCUAACUACCUCUCUAAGUCAAUCAAAUGGGGUUAUCACCUCCCUCAAUAGUUGAUAGAAUUGCUGAUCCUCCUGCUACUGGGGCUGAGGCAGUUUCUUGGAAAGGACUGGCUAGAUGCCUGAGGUAUGUUUAGCUUGCCCAAGCUGAAAAUAGGUGGGGAAAUCCAGAGAAUGGAAUGAGCUCAGCAAGAGCUGGACACAUCCUGACCUUUGUUCUCAAAACCAUUUAGACUCUGGCAGGUGGAUCGGCAUCGCUUUGAAGGAUUCAUAGUGGAUCUCUAAUCCAAAUUCUGUCCCAUGCGUGAGGCCUGCAGACUUGUGGUGACUUUCCCAAGGCACAAGGCUGUGGAAUGGUGAAAUCCCAUAAACCAUAACUCCAUAAACAUAUGACCAUAACUACUGCUUUGCUCAGUUGAGACAGCAGCCCUUCCCUUUGGCUUAAUCUCAACCAGCCUAUGCCUAUAGGCCACCCUUCCUUCCUUUCAAAGUUCAAAUAGCAAUAAAAGUGAAUUGAGGGAAAUAAGUGUCUUUUCCUCACUACACCACAGGGGCCCUAUCUACCUGAUAUCUGACCUUCCAAUUUUCUUGGGUCUCCAUUCCCAAUCUUCUCAACAACAUGUUGCAUCCAGGUUUUCCAUUCAGCCCUCCUUCACCUCACUUGGGUUCCUGUGGAGUUUGCAGACCCCAACUCUAAAGCUUCCUGCCCAAGGUAGGAGGGGACCAGAAGUUAUGGAUGGAACAUAGGGUAGUGAAGGGUAGGAUUCUUGCCAGAGAACCCCCCUCAGCCGGAGGCCAGCAUGGGCCUGGCUGUGGGUAUGGGAGCAAUCUGUUCAACAUAAAGCAGGCCCUAGCAGGCAAGGGGGUAGCACAGGGCUGAGCAAGCACUGUGCAGUCCUCUCUAAAUGUUUGCAAACAGAUGCUCAACCUUUAACCUCUCAGGUGGUCUUCCUGGGAUAUAAGCACUUGUGAUUGGUUACUAGACCUUAGACUUCAGCCUCAGCCUGCUCAGGGAACCUAUGGAAAGUAGGGGAGAGGUCAAUGGAAACAAUCUAGCUAUGCUUGGAACAGUUCUGGAAUCUGGGGAAGUUGCUAGAUCCCAUGUCUCUGGCUUUGUUCAGCAAGGUCACCUGCCAAGAGUGGCAGGAUGCCAGAUAGGAAAGAAUCCAAGAAUGGUCUGAUCUUUUUGCCACUUUGUUUUUGAGGCAGUACAACUGAACCCAAGUGGUCACUCUCACCUUUGCCCUCCUUUCUCCCUUUUCAAGGGGAAAAGAUGCAUGUGUAUGUAGAGGUGGGAGCAGGAGUGUGUUCCCAUCCUCCUCUACUGUUUAGAAUCUUGUAUCCACUCUUUUAAAGUCUCAGGUUGGCAAUAGGUGCGAUUUGGGGGGAUGGCUGUGCCCCCAACAUGGACACAGAGAUAGCUGGUUAGGUUAGGACUGGUAUAUGUGGAGGAGGAGGACAGGAGGCAAAAGGAGAUUUUUCAGUGUCUUUUACAUUUGUUUCUUGCUGACUUCUCCACAGCCACAGUCACAGGCUAAAGUGUAACAGGUCCCUUGGUCCCUCCCCCACCAUUCCACUCACCAAGCACCUUGGAGAGCUAGAAAAGGAAACACACAGAUCACUGCAAAUUGCUCAGUAACUCUGGAAUGUUCUCUUUCAAUGCCGGCUUCCUCCUCUGUUCUCUUGGCUGCCUCUACCUUAACAUCUAUUACCAUGGCCACACCAGGGUUUCAAGGUGCUUUCCCUCAAUGGAGUCACAGCCUCUAUCCAUUUUUUACAAUGGGGUCAGAAAUAUCUAGCAUGACAUUGCCAAUCUCUAUCACUUGAAGCUGAAGAUUCAGUUUGCCUGCCUGAAUAUGGUUGGAAAAUUUCUUGAAGGUUCUCUUGCAUCCCCUCUUUAGGACUUUCAACUGUUUAGAAGGGUCGCUAUGACAGCAUACCAGCUUUCGGUGCCUGCCUCGUUAUUCAGUCCCUAUUCUGGACACGCAGCUCGCCCGUGACUGUUGCAUGUCAAGUGGCUGCAACCAAUCAGCUCAUCGAGGGCUUCAUAGGAAGCCAAUCAGAGCGUAGGGAAGUGACCUCACCCCAGGGAGAGCUGUGUGGGCGAGAAAGCAUCUCUCAGAGCUAUGAGUGUCCCUAAGUCACUCCCCUCCUCCCCACCCUCCUUACUUCCUGUAAAGUAAUACCGCCUACCCCUCUACCCCAAGAAGGCAGUAGGAAAGGCUAACUAAAUUCCACAAAGGAAGAACCAAAAGAGAAGCUGCAAGUCAGCCAUAAAGCAGCUUCUGGAAGUAGAGAAUGGGGAUUCCCUUUUCAGAGACCUAUCUUUCAAUGUGGAAUCCCCCAUGCCUGGAAGAGGGUGUGUGCUGAGGAAGAAUCAGCACCUCUUCCCUCCUCCCUCCCUGCACCUGGCUUUCUUGACUCUCACAAAAAUAGCUGUAAUCUUUCCUUGUAAACAAGGACAAGAUCAAGGUCAAGUGUGGGAAAGAGAGGGCCGUGUCCACAUAUGGAAAGAGACAAUUGUGUCCCAUGGCCUGAGGACCAGGGGCUCAGAAGCCAGCGGGUCUUCAGGGCAUGAGGCUAUUCUCUCCUACUCACUCUGCACAGCCUCAGCGAUGAGUUCCUGAAUAUUCCCUGGCAGGGCUAGAUUGGGAGUGUCCUACAUGGGAGUGGGAGGGCAGGGGUAAAGGACAGGAAAGCUGCACCCCCCAGUGUGUCACACUGGACUCUGAUGGAUAAGGAAAGAAUGGCCUAGCUAGGCAACCUUCGUUUCCCUCAAGGCCUCGCCCACCAGGCCUCACCCUGGACAGAGAGACAGAUAAAAACAUUUUAUUUAAAAAUAUAAAACUGGCCUUACGCCUCCUAACUGCACACACCCUCAAUGAUC